GACGAACGCUGGCGGCGUGCUUAACACAUGCCAGUCGAACGGAAAGGCCCUGCUUUUGUGGGGUGCUCGAGUGGCGAACGGGUGAGUAACACGUGAGUAACCUGCCCUUGACUUUGGGAUAACUUCAGGAAACUGGGGCUAAUACCGGAUAGGAGCUCCUGCUGCAUGUUGGGGGUUGGAAAGUUUCGGCGGUUGGGGAUGGACUCGCGGCUUAUCAGCUUGUUGGUGGGGUAGUGGCUUACCAAGGCUUUGACGGGUAGCCGGCCUGAGAGGGUGACUGGCCACAUUGGGACUGAGAUACGGCCCAGACUCCUACGGGAGGCAGCAGUGGGGAAUAUUGCACAAUGGGCGGAAGCCUGAUGCAGCAACGCCGCGUGCGGGAUGACGGCCUUCGGGUUGUAAACCGCUUUCGCCUGUGACGAAGCGUGAGUGACGGUAAUGGGUAAAGAAGCACCGGCUAACUACGUG
rnacentral:rRNA from 1 species